rnacentral:lncRNA from 1 species
AAAUGUUAGUCCUUUGGUUAAAAUAAUUGAUGAAUUGAUAAAAUGGAAGUUAUUGAUGGAUUAUGUGGAAAUUUGCUAUGAAUUGGUAAGAAUGGAAUUGGAUUAAUGGAUUAUGUGGGAAUCGCAGAGUAUAAUUGAAAUACUAUUUAUCAUGAGUUGUGAAUUUCUGAUUGAUUGAGAAUCUUCUAUUUGAUAAUUGUUGAGAAAGGAUUGUUGAAUUGUUAAGAAAAAGGGAACCCGUAAGGGUGGUUAAGUCCGAGUUUUAGGGGAGGUGCUGCCGAAAUUUUAUAAAAUAUCUGAGGUUUCAUUUGAAAAGUUAUUUUAGAAGCUUUGAAUUUGGAAAAUUAUAUUACUUGAGUUUUAUUUAGUUAAGAAAAGAAUUAUAAUAUUUUGAGUUUGAUUUACCAAGGAAAGGUCUAUGUUUCGAAUUUGAGUUAUUUAAAAAGAAAUUAUGUUUUGAGUUUGAUUCAAUAUAGAAAAAAGUUAUGAUUUGGGCUUAAAGUAAAGGAUUACCUUUUAGAGAUUUGUGAAUUUAUAUUAUAACAUUUGAGUUGGAAUAUUAAAGAGAAAGAUGAUUUUCUUGAGUUUUUUGAUAGAGAAUUAAACUGGAAAACAAUUUUAAAGUUGGUUCGAGUUAAGAUUUGCUAAAGUAGAAAUUAUGAAAUGAUUUGAUGAUUAAGAUUUUUAUAGACAAAUGCCUGAGGAAUUAAGAAAGGUUUAAGGAAAAUUAUUAAGAAUUUAAAGGGGAAAAGAGAAUGGGGAACUGAUAUAUGGAUUGUUGAGUUUUAGAAAGGAAAAUGAAAAGUGAUAAAAGGCGGGAAAACCCCACGAACUGCUAGUUGUUUAACUACGGGAAAAAAACCCAUGAAUUGAUAAUUGGUUAAAUUCGGGAAGUACCCAUGAACUGAAUGAUCAUUGAUCUCGGGAAAACCUAUAAAUUGUUAUUUGUUUUAAAUGCGGGAAAACCAACGAAUUGAUAAUCAUUGAUUAUGGGAAUAAGCCACUAACUGUUAUAUGUUGAUCUCGGGUAUAACCCACGAACUGAGGAUCAUUGCAUUGUUGUGUAUUGAUCUCAGGGAAACCCACGAACUGAGGAUCAUUGUUUUAUUUGUGUAUUGAUCUCGGGGACGCCCACGAACUGAGGAUCAUUGUUUCCCCUUGUGCGUAUAUUAUGGGGUCGGGCUUUGCGCCGACUGCCGGUAGUCACGAAGGAGUGGUAUUCUUACCACCGACACAUAUGAACUAAGGACACAAAGGAAAGCCAUAUCUGGGACUUGUUCCUAGGUAAUGUCGGGUUGCAGGGUGUAAACCGACACGUGAGGUCAUGGCCUGCUUAGGAUAGACAUGCAUCAUAGUGGUUGUGCAUUUGCAUUUGGUUGUGUUUGCUUGUAUUACUUCUCUGUGAUUAUGUUGUUUGUUUUUUUGUGAUUUGUUUGUGUGUUGAAUUGAGUUUCUUACUUGUGCUAGUAGUCUGUGAAUAUAUAGAGAUGAUUAAUAACUGUUUGUUGUGACUGAGAAUCAAUUAUGAGGCUGAAAGAUAUUUAAUAUGACAAAUUUUGUGAUUGAGAUCUGUUUUGAGUUUAGGAAUUUAAAGAAAGUAAUUAUUUACCUAAAGUAAGAUUAAAAAGUAUUUCAAAGGGUUUGACAAAGAUAGUUUUAUUAAGCAAAGUUAAUUAUUUGCGUGUUAAUCACUACUUUUACGGCAUUCCCAUUCCCUACUGAGAACGUGUGGUUUGUUCUCACUCCAAAAUCUUCCCCCUUUCAGUGACAGAUAAACCCAUAUUUUAUGAUUCAUCUUGUGCUCAAUUAAGUGUUUUUAUCAAUUCUUCACCCACUUAUUCAUGAAAAUUACAUGGUUUUACUAUUCCUUCCUUAUUUUAUGAUAUAUGUGAAAACAUGUUUCUUAUGCUUUGAAAAUAUUAAAUUUAAUUAUCCUUUAUUACCAUUCGAUGCCAUGAUUUGUGUGUUAAGUAUUUUUAGGCCUCAUAGGGCAGGAAUGGCUUAUUGGACAGAAAGGAAACAUACAAAAAUAGAAGGAAAGCACAAAAAUGGAGUUUUGAAGAAAAGGUAGUGACGCGCACGCGUGGAUGACGCGGAUGCGUGCCUAGCGCAAAAUGGUAGCGACGCGUACGCGUGGACAACGCGGAUGCGUGCCUUGAGCAGAACGCAAAUGAUGCGUACACGUGACAAGGAAAAACUCCAAAUAACGCGAACGCGUGACCCACGCGCACGCGUGACAGACACCACGUGCAGGAAUCUACAGAAAAUGCCCUCAACGAUUUCUGGGCCCCUUUUGGCCUAGAUCCAAGCCCAGAAACACAGAAUAGAAGCCAUAGAAUGGGAAAAUCAACAAGAAGAAUUCAGAAACUUCAUUAUUCACAUAAUUUUAGGUUUUAGAUGUAGUUUUUAGAGAGAGAGGCUCUCUCCUCUCUCUUAGGAUUAGGAUUUAGGAUUUCUAUUAUGAUUAGGCUACUUCUCUUCAAUCACAGGUUCAAUGUUCUUUAAUUUAUGUUUCUCUUUUACUUUUAUUUACUCUAAUGCUUUUAUUUGUAUUUGACUUAUGUUGCCCAAUUGGCUUAUGAACUCUUCAUGUUAAGAUUUGAAUAUUCUAUUUAAUGCAAUUUGAGGUAUUUCAGAUUAAGGAUUGUUUUAUUCUAUUUAUGAUGCUUUUAAUUUAAUUUAGAUUUAUUUUUUUCUUUUGGCUUUGGUUAAGUAAUUGGUGACACUUGAGUUAUCAAACUCAGCAGUUGAUUGAGAUUUGGGAAUUGCUGAUUGAUUUGGAUCGCUCUAAAGCUAGUCUUUCCACAGGAGUUGACUAGGACUUGAGGAUCAAAUUAAUUAGUCGACUUGACUUUCCUUUAUUUAGUAAGGGUUAACUAAGUGGGAGCAAUAACUAUUCUCAUCAUUCCUGAUAAGGAUAACUAGGAUAGGAUUUUUAGUUCUCAUACCUUGCCAAGAGAUUUUUCUAAUUAUUAAUCUAUUUUUCUUGCCAUUUAAAUUACUUGUUCCUUAUUUUAAAAACCCAAAACAAAAUAUACUUUUUCCAUAACCAAUAAUAAACAUACUUCCCUGCAAUUCCUUGAGAAGACGACCCGAGGUUUGAAUACUUCGGUUAUAAAUUUUAUUGGGUUUGCUUAAGUGACAAACAAGUUUUUGUAUGAAAGGAUUAUUGCUUGGUUUAGAAACUAUACUAGCAACGAGAAUUUAUUGUGAAUUCUAAACCAUCAAUCUUCAGUUCAUCAAAAUGGUGCCGUUGCCGGAGAAUUGUAACUGUGUGCCUUAUUAUUGGUUUUUGUAAAUAUUUUCUUUUACCUGUUUAUUUGUUUUUAUUUUCGUUUUUAAUUUUUAUUAGCUACUAUGAGUUCUCACCCCUAUCGCUUUGAGUUUGGUUCUAAUAUUGUUGAAAGGAAUGGAAGCUAUAACAGGAACAUGCAUCAAGGUCAAAACAAUCAGAGAUGGACGGAGCCACGAGGAUCUGAUCAACCUUUUAGGCAACAAAACCUUCCAAAGUACCAUGGACGACGACCAUUCAACAAUGCAUGUCGAGACAAUAGUUAUGUUGGACCCCUUCGUGACAACCAUCACCCAUCAAAUUACUAUGGUCAGGAGCCAUUCCGAGGUGCGUACCAAGAUGAUAGAUAUGGUGGAUCCCCUUGUAGUUACCAAUAAGUGCCAUCAUAUGCCCAUAAACCACCUCCUCAACAUAGCUAUGAACUACCACACUCACAAGCCCCCUACCACCAUUCACCUCCAUAUGACCCUAACCCAUAUCCACCCCAAUUCCAAUCCAAUUACUCCCAAGAAUCACCAUUUCCCUAUGCACCAUGUCCAUAUCCAUCAACCCAAGAAUCACGGGAGCGUCUCAAGGAAACAGUGGAAAAAUUUCAUGCAAUUAUUCACCAACUGGAGCAAGCGAUCAAUCGAUUACCUUUCAGACGUUCGGACACUCAAGGAACCCCCAUGGCUUCAUGUGGACAAUCUAAUGAAGAACGUAGCAUGAAGGAGAUACUAGAAACUUCGAUGGACAAUAAGGAGCAUGAUUUUGUACUGGAACAAGUGGAGAAAGCCGAAAUUAUCGAAGAAGAAGAAUUGGUUGAAGACUUAGGAGAUGCUGAACCUCCAUGGGAAUCCAGAAUUGUGGAGAGUUUCAUCAAGAAAUUUGCAAUUGAUGCUAAGGAGGAUAGUGCACAACCCCCAAAGCAGGUAUCUUAUGAAGAACUGGACGGAACAACUCAAGAAGCGAGUUUCCUUGAUAAUGAUAAUCACGAGUCAAGUUCUCCUAGUAAUGAACUUACAUCCGCAAGUGAAUUUUUUGAGAUUGAAGAAUCUUCCCCAAGUGAAUACGAAGAUGAUGCGGAGGUAGACUUUUCUCAACCUCCAAAUUAUGACUUGAGUGAUGAGGAAGAUAUCGAAGACUUUGAUCAAGACGUGGUUGCAGUUGAGGAAGUUUGCAAGGAAGUAGAGGAAUUCACAGAAGAAUACAAGGGAGUAGAGCUUGCAAAACCACUGGAAACACCUAUUCCAAGGCCAUUACCACCCAAUACAAAUUUCAAGUGGGUAAAAUCCUUAUCCCUUAUCUUUACUUUUCCACUUGAAUAUGGUUUGCUUGAAAGAGAUGGCCAGCUUAGAGCUCUUUGCGGCUUUAAGAGUAAAAGAGAAAUGGUCUAUACUCAGAGCUGGUAUGCAAGAUUCAAUAAGGUUCCACGCUUCAAUUUGUCGUCCAAGGAUUGGUCUCAAGUUCGAUUGCAUGGGUCUCAGAAGAUGUUUGGUCAUCUUAGUGAGAAUACAAAUUCCGUACCGCACGGCUGGAUAGAUGUAAAUAGAAACAAUGGCGGAUACAAAAACAAGGUUUGGGAUCCUGGGAUUCAUUUCCUUGAGAAGACGACCCGAGGUUUGAAUACUUCGGUUAUAAAUUUUAUUGGGUUUGCUUAAGUGACAAACAAGUUUUUGUAUGAAAGGAUUAUUGCUUGGUUUAGAAACUAUACUAGCAACGAGAAUUUAUUGUGAAUUCUAAACCAUCAAUCUUCAGUUCAUCAAAAUGGUGCCGUUGCCGGAGAAUUGUAACUGUGUGCCUUAUUAUUGGUUUUUGUAAAUAUUUUCUUUUACCUGUUUAUUUGUUUUUAUUUUCGUUUUUAAUUUUUAUUAGCUACUAUGAGUUCUCACCCCUAUCGCUUUGAGUUUGGUUCUAAUAUUGUUGAAAGGAAUGGAAGCUAUAACAGGAACAUGCAUCAAGGUCAAAACAAUCAGAGAUGGACGGAGCCACGAGGAUCUGAUCAACCUUUUAGGCAACAAAACCUUCCAAAGUACCAUGGACGACGACCAUUCAACAAUGCAUGUCGAGACAAUAGUUAUGUUGGACCCCUUCGUGACAACCAUCACCCAUCAAAUUACUAUGGUCAGGAGCCAUUCCGAGGUGCGUACCAAGAUGAUAGAUAUGGUGGAUCCCCUUGUAGUUACCAAUAAGUGCCAUCAUAUGCCCAUAAACCACCUCCUCAACAUAGCUAUGAACUACCACACUCACAAGCCCCCUACCACCAUUCACCUCCAUAUGACCCUAACCCAUAUCCACCCCAAUUCCAAUCCAAUUACUCCCAAGAAUCACCAUUUCCCUAUGCACCAUGUCCAUAUCCAUCAACCCAAGAAUCACGGGAGCGUCUCAAGGAAACAGUGGAAAAAUUUCAUGCAAUUAUUCACCAACUGGAGCAAGCGAUCAAUCGAUUACCUUUCAGACGUUCGGACACUCAAGGAACCCCCAUGGCUUCAUGUGGACAAUCUAAUGAAGAACGUAGCAUGAAGGAGAUACUAGAAACUUCGAUGGACAAUAAGGAGCAUGAUUUUGUACUGGAACAAGUGGAGAAAGCCGAAAUUAUCGAAGAAGAAGAAUUGGUUGAAGACUUAGGAGAUGCUGAACCUCCAUGGGAAUCCAGAAUUGUGGAGAGUUUCAUCAAGAAAUUUGCAAUUGAUGCUAAGGAGGAUAGUGCACAACCCCCAAAGCAGGUAUCUUAUGAAGAACUGGACGGAACAACUCAAGAAGCGAGUUUCCUUGAUAAUGAUAAUCACGAGUCAAGUUCUCCUAGUAAUGAACUUACAUCCGCAAGUGAAUUUUUUGAGAUUGAAGAAUCUUCCCCAAGUGAAUACGAAGAUGAUGCGGAGGUAGACUUUUCUCAACCUCCAAAUUAUGACUUGAGUGAUGAGGAAGAUAUCGAAGACUUUGAUCAAGACGUGGUUGCAGUUGAGGAAGUUUGCAAGGAAGUAGAGGAAUUCACAGAAGAAUACAAGGGAGUAGAGCUUGCAAAACCACUGGAAACACCUAUUCCAAGGCCAUUACCACCCAAUACAAAUUUCAAGUGGGUAAAAUCCUUAUCCCUUAUCUUUACUUUUCCACUUGAAUAUGGUUUGCUUGAAAGAGAUGGCCAGCUUAGAGCUCUUUGCGGCUUUAAGAGUAAAAGAGAAAUGGUCUAUACUCAGAGCUGGUAUGCAAGAUUCAAUAAGGUUCCACGCUUCAAUUUGUCGUCCAAGGAUUGGUCUCAAGUUCGAUUGCAUGGGUCUCAGAAGAUGUUUGGUCAUCUUAGUGAGAAUACAAAUUCCGUACCGCACGGCUGGAUAGAUGUAAAUAGAAACAAUGGCGGAUACAAAAACAAGGUUUGGGAUCCUGGGAUUCAUUUAGACAGUCAACACCCGUGGAGCCUGAACCCCUGCUUUGAUCUACUCAAGGGCUUUACGUGCCUUGUUUGGGACCCCGGAGGCUGUUGGCAUUCCAAACAUUGGUGGAGAUUUUUGGAUGAAUUCAAGCACAAGCCACUAUAACAGGGAGCUCAGCAAAUGUCCAACUUAAGGACUUUAACCAAAAGUGUUAGGUGGGAGAUAACCCACCGUGGUAUGAUCGUUCCUUUUUCACUUUUAAUUUUAUUUCAUUUUGUUUAUUUUUAAGUUUUAUUUUAUUCUAUUUUAUUGAACCUGGAAUUAUUCAUAACAUCCAUAUUAGCACUGCAUCUGGUAUAUUGCAUACUACAUAUUGCAUAAAAAAAAUGCACCCCAUGCGUGCACCUGGGCCACGCGUGGGCGUCGAUUUGAAAUCGACGUAACAAUCCAACGCCCAGAAAGUUGGGUUAGAAUCGUGCGGCUGGUAUGCGUUAGGCACAAAUUGGGCCAUGCGAACGCGUCAACGAUGCGAAUGCGUCACUUUCACUUCACACAUACCACACGAAAGCGUGGGCGACGCAUACGCGUCGCGUAGUAAUCAUUGCCCCCUAAAUGGAAACAGAGAGUUGUGCCAAAAUGACGCUGGAAUUGUGCGUUUAGCACAACUCUGAGCGACGCGUACGCGUGCCUCACGCGUACGCGUCACUUUCAUUAUCCCUCAAUCACGCGAUCGUGUCAAUGACGCGUCCGUGUCAUUGCCUUCUCGCCCUAACCACGCGUUCGUGUUAUCCACGCGCCCGCGUGGAUUUAAAUACACUUAUCCCCUUCGACGCGAAACCCUACCCCUUUCGCGUCCCAAAACCCCCUUUUUCCUCUGCACUCUCCCUCUUCCCCUCUGCAACCACCAACCAGCACCACCACCCCACCACCACCGUCGCCGCACCACCACCACCGCGCCGCGCCGCCACCACCGCGCCGUCCUCGCAGAACCCUCCUCCUACUUUCUCUUCUUCUUCCAUCCUNNNNNNNNNNNNNNNNNNNNNNNNNNNNNNNNNNNNNNNNNNNNNNNNNNNNNNNNNNNNNNNNNNNNNNNNNNNNNNNNNNNNNNNNNNNNNNNNNNNNNNNNNNNNNNNNNNNNNNNNNNNNNNNNNNNNNNNNNNNNNNNNNNNNNNNNNNNNNNNNNNNNNNNNNNNNNNNNNNNNNNNNNNNNNNNNNNNNNNNNNNNNNNNNNNNNNNNNNNNNNNNNNNNNNNNNNNNNNNNNNNNNNNNNNNNNNNNNNNNNNNNNNNNNNNNNNNNNNNNNNNNNNNNNNNNNNNNNNNNNNNNNNNNNNNNNNNNNNNNNNNCCCCCCUAACCCCCCUCUCUUCACCAAGACCGCCGCACCACCCUGCCUCCACCGAACUGCCGCCGUGCCACCUCCCAGCGCCGCCGCAUCGCCAGCCACCACUACCACAGUACCACCAUCUCUCUAAGCCCAAUUUCUGUUCCUCUACCUACCAGGUUAUGCCGAACAACGAUUCCUCUUUCAGUUAGUUAGUUGCAUUUUUUUUUCAAAAUUAGGAUAGUUAGAGAUGCAUGAUCGUAGUGGAGUUUAGGUGGUUAGGUAGCUAGGAUGUGGUUUUGCACUGUUCUUGUUAAUUGUUUUAUCUAUUUCGUAAUUUUGAAUUUGCUGUGAUGAUAAUGCUGUUCAUAUGCUGCUCUUUACUAUUCCUUAAUACAGAUUGAGUUUGUUUAUUCUGAAUUCAUGAAUUACUAUUUGUUACUCUUUUCUGCACUACCUUAUUAUCAUAUGAACUAUUUCGGCUGCUGUUUAUUACCCGGGAUUGUCCAAUUUUUAGACGAAAUGCUGCCCAAUUUUUUUCAGCAAAUUGUUUCACUCAACUACCAUUCAUGAAUUAGUUUUGGAAAUUUCAAAUUUUGCACUAAAUGGUUUUAACCAAAGCAAUUAAUGAAUGCACGGGCUAGCUUUCUUAUUGUUUCUUAUUCCCUCAUUCUUUAAAUAAAAUUAUUGAUGAUUCUACUUUAAUUUUGCAAUUCUUUUCUAUGAUUAAUCAUCAAUAAUCUGCAAUAUUUACUUGAAUUUGAGUUACUUGUUAUUCAAAUUUGUGCAAUUUUAGUUAAUUGGGAACCAAAACACCAUGCCACUUACUUUAACUUCAUUUUUAACUCUUAACUACUUUAACUUUCUAACUUCUCUAUUAGCUUUCAACUAACCACUUUAAAACCACUUCAAGGCAUGAUUACUGUUUUUCCUGAUUAACAACAAUUCCGCACAUCAUAGAUUUUGGAUUGUAAAUUUUUCUUCUCCAACUUUUAACUUGCAUACAAUCCAAUAUUUUACAUCUAUUUAACUCAAUUCAUGCUUAUAUUGCUACUUUAUGCCUCUUUUGUCACUCUAUGCUUAAAUUGAUAAAUUCCUAUUUGCUUACCUGUUUUCCUGCUUUAGUUCUUAAACUGUAUCCUGAAAUUUCUAUUUUUCAGGAUGUCUGACCCUAAAAGCAAAGGAAAGGGCAAGGCAACCACAGGCAAAAGGAAAAGAGGUGAAUCCUCUACUUCUAUAUUGAAUAUCAUCCAUGAUGAUUCCUGGCGAGAAAAGAACUUUAUCCCGCAAGAAAAGGCUAAUCAAUUGGUGCCUGCCACAGACCCAGUAAAGUUUGCCAACAGAUACUGUGAGAUGAAGUAUCUGGUCUUUGCAUCUUCUAGGAACCUAUACCUGGAAAAGACCCUGAAAAUUCCAGAAGAACUCAAACAAUACACCUCAGAACAAAUUAAAUAGAGAGGCUGGUUCUUCUUGGAAAGGAACUUGACUAAAGUCAACUCAUCCUGGGUCAGGAAAUUCUACUGCAACUACUUCAAAAUGUCCCUGGAUGCAGUACAGCUUAGAGGCAAACAGAUUCUGGUUACUGAAGAAGCAAUUGAAGAAAUCCUCCAGCUCCUACCUAAAUCAAAUCAGCCAGAUAGUUACCAGAAGGCUGAAGAGGAUAUGAGAUUCAUAAGGUUUGACUGGGACGCAGUGAAGCAGAGAAUAGCUAUUGAUCCCACUGUCCCCUGGGUCAUGGGUAAGACAACAACAAACCCAAAUGGCAUAAAGCUUAUCUACCUGAACGAUGAGGCUCGGCUUUGGCAGCAGAUUCUAAGUAACUACGUGAUGCCGAGCACUCAUGAGACUGAGGUACCAGCUACCAUGAUUACCCUCAUCUGGUGUGUGAUGGAGGGAAAAGACUUAUAUCUUCCCCGCUUUAUCCGGUAUUACAUGGCCAUAGUCCAUGUCAGAGGCACCCUCCCUUUCCCAUAUUUGAUCACUUAGUUGGGCCGCGGAGCUGAGGUGCCCUGGGAGAUUGCUGAUGAAAAGCCAACUGCCGCAAACUGCAAGAAGAUUAUCCCUCACAGCAGGAAGUUCCAGGCUUUAGGCUACCGACCUCCAUUUCUCAUUGCCUCUGCUGAGGUAGCCACAUCCUCUGCUGCCCCUUCAGCACCUACUGCCCCAGCCACCACCACUGCACCCUCACCUGCUCCCGAGCCCAUUUAUCACCUCGUGCACCGACUCUUCGCACGGCUGGAUCAUGGAGCGUCGCAACAAGCAACGCUAUGAGCACUUAAAGUUGAUGAUCCGAUCCGACAGUGACAUCCCCUCUGAGCCUGACACACCAUCAGAGCCAUCUGAUGCGGAGGCGGACGAUCAUGAGGAGGAGGCACGUGUAGAGGCUGAGCAGGCAGGACCUGAGCAGGCUGCACCACGUCAUGAGGAGCCCCAUCAGAUCCAGCCAGCAGAUCCAGAGGUUCCUCUACAGACAGAGCCUCCGCUUCAGUAGGAAGACUCUCCGACACUCAUAGAGACUGUAGACCCCCUGGCCACCACCGAGACACCAGCAGCACAUCCUUCCGGAGAUGACACUUCUUCACACCCAGCUUGAUUGAGCAUCGAGGACGAUGCUAUUAUUUAAGUGUGGGGAGGUCGCCAUCUCUGGUGAAUCUUUUUGGUGAACCACUUUCGAACUCUUUUUAUCCUAUUUUGCUUAUUUUCUGUAUUUUAUUUUAUUUUAUUUUUAUCUUAUUUAUCCUUCAGUACUUGCACAUUUUCCCUUUAUUGUAUUUCUGUUUACUUUAUUUUACACUUUGGUUUGUAUAUAUCUUAGAUAUUUAGUUUAGUUUGCACUUUUAGCUUAUUAAGUUGUGAUAUAGAAAAUAUGGAUUAAUUAGCUUAGUUUACCCUUUUAGCAUAUGAUAAUUUGGUUUAAUUGAAAAUAAAAAGAGUAAACUAGAAACUUUAGUAUAACAGAAUCACAACAAUCCACACACCUUAUAUAUAUAUAGCAAUAAAUGUUGGUUAAUUGACAACAUUUUUCAAGGAAAAUACUAAAUUUUAUAAAAGCCAUUCUAAGAUUCAUAUUAAGUUGAAUGGAAACUCUUGAUUUCUACUUGAAUGACAUAGAUAACUGAUAUAUGGUUUUUGAGCCAAAGAACACACAACCCGUGAAUUUUUGAGCUUAAUUGUAUGGUUUUUAACCAUAAAUUUCAUUCCUGUGUGUUUCGUACUUUUUUUUUAUGCUUGCAAUCUUUACUUUGUUUCAAUCUAUAUGUCCAAUAUAGAAUGUAGAUACAUACCUGCAUAUGAUUGAGGCCAUUAUUUGUGGUUUACUCACUUAUCCCAAAUAAACAUAUCCUUUUAUGUCACCCUUGUUAGCCCCCUUGAGCCUUUUAACCCCCCUUUUGUUCUAUAACCACAUCACUAACCUUAAGCAGAAAAACAAAUUAAAAAUUCCAAAUUGAGUCUUUGGUUAGCUUAAGAUAGAGAUUGUGCAUCAACUAAGUGUGGAAAAAUUUAUGGGAACAUGGGAUGAUAGGAAAAAUGUAUUAAGUUAAUAAAAUAAUCAGAAAUUUGGGAACAUGCUCAUGCGAAACCAAAAUAAUUAAAAUACCAUGUGCAUUGAAAAUAUUGUGUUUAAGAUUAAAAAAAAUCCCUUUUAAUUAAAUAAAUAAAUAAGAGGACAAAAUCACCCCAAUAAUAAGUUUAGUAAAGGAAUCAAUGUACAUGGAGGUAAAAUCAAAAUAAACUUGGUGCAUGAGUAUGUGACACAAAAGUGGGAAAAUUAUGGGAAGACUAGGAUAAUUUUUAAAUUUUUAAUAGAGUAUGUAUAUGUUAGGUGAGAUCUUAGACUAAUCAAGGAUUCAAUUUAUAGCUCACUUAGCCUCAUAUAUAUCCUCACCUUUACCUUGGCCCCAUUACAACCUUGAAAAAGACCUCAUGAUGUUUGUAUGCAUACAUUAUAUAAUUGUUGAUUGUUUAGAUGAAGAACAAAGUUUUAGAAAGCAUGAAUAGAAAAGAGUAAGAGUGAUCAACCCCAAACACUGAGUGACUAGAGAGUAAACACCAAUCCAGUGAGGGUCCAAUAGCUCAUCUCCAUAUAUCCAAAUUUAAUUAUCAAUUGUCUUGCAAGUUUGUGAAUUCAUUUAACACAACUCAAUUGUGAAAGUGCUUUAACAUGAUUUAGGCUUGGCUAUGCAUAUAUGAUUCCUUGAAAAUAUAAAUCAAAUUAACCACAUGUAAGCUCUAUAUAUAUAGGUGGAUAGUAAUUAGAAUUGUAUGAUUCAUGUAGGUAGCUUGCAUUUAGGAUAGAUUACAUUGCAUAAAAUUCCACCAUUCUACCUUCACUCUUUCUCUUGGAUUCAGCAUGAGGACAUGCUAUUGUUUAAGUGUGGGGAGGUUGAUAAACUCAUAUUUUAUGAUUCAUCUUGUGCUCAAUUAAGUGUUUUUAUCAAUUCUUCACCCACUUAUUCAUGUAAAUUGCAUGGUUUUACUAUUCCUUCCUUAUUUUAUGAUAUAUGUGAAAACAUGUUUCCUAUACUUUGAAAAUAUUAAAUUCAAUUAUCCUUUAUUACCAUUCGAUGCCGUGAUUUGUGUGUUAAGUAUUUUCAGGCCUCAUAGGGCAGGAAUGGCUUAGUGGACAGAAAGGAAACAUACAAAAAUAGAAGGAAAGCACAAAAAUGGAGUUUUGAAGAAAAGGCAGCGACGCGCACGUGUGGAUGAUGCGGACGCAUGCCUAGCGCAAAAUGGCAGCGACGCGUACGCAUGGACGACGCGAACACGUGCCUUGAGCAGAAUGCAAAUGACGUGUACGCGUGACUGACGCGUACGCGUGACAAGGAAAAACUCCAAAUGACGUGAAGGUGUGACCCACGCGCACGCGUGACAGACGCCACGUGCAGGAAUCUACAGAAAAUGCCCUCAGCGAUUUCUGGGCCCUUUUUUGGCCCAGAUCCAAGCCCAGAAAUACAGAAUAGAAGCCAGAGAAUGGGAAAAUCAACAAGAAGAAUUCAGAAACUUCAUUAUUCACAUAAUUUUAGGUUUUAGAUGUAGUUUUUAGAGAGAGGCUCUCUCCUCUCUCUUAGGAUUAGGAUUUAGGAUUUCUAUUAUGAUUAGGCUACUUCUCUUCAAUCACAGGUUCAAUGUUCUUUAAUUUAUGUUUCUCUUUUACUUUUAUUUACUCUAAUGCUUUUAUUUGUAUUUGACUUAUGUUGCCCAAUUGGCUUAUGAACUCUUCAUGUUAAGAUUUGAAUAUUCUAUUUAAUGCAAUUUGAGGUAUUUCAGAUUAAGGAUUGUUUUAUUCUAUUUAUGAUGCUUUCAAUUUAAUUUAGAUUUAUUUUUUCCUUUUGGCUUUGGUUAAGUAAUUAGUGACACUUGAGUUAUCAAACUCAGCAGUUGAUUGAGAUUUGGGAAUUGCUAAUUGAUUUGGAUCGUUCUAAAGCUAGUCUUUCCACAGGAGUUGACUAGGACUUGAGGAUCAAAUUAAUUAGUCGACUUGACUUUCCUUUAUUUAGUAAGGAUUAACUAAGUGGGAGCAAUAAUAAUUCUCAUCAUUCCUAAUAAGGAUAACUAGGAUAGGAUUUCCAGUUCUCAUACCUUGCCAAUAGAUUUUUCUAAUUAUUAAUCUAUUUUUCUUGCCAUUUAAAUUACUUGUUCCUUAUUUUAAAAAUCCAAAACAAAAUAUACUUUUUCCAUAACCAAUAAUAAAUCAUACUUCCCUGCAAUUCCUUGAGAAGACGACCCGAGGUUUGAAUACUUCGGUUAUAAAUUUUAUUGGGUUUGCUUAAGUGACAAACGAGUUUUUGUAUGAAAGGAUUAUUUCUUGGUUUAGAAACUAUACUAGCAACGAGAAUUUAUUGUGAAUUCUAAACCAUCAAUCUUCAGUUCAUCAAAAUGGCGCCGUUGCCGGAAAAUUGCAACUGUGUGCCUUAUUAUUGAUUUUUGUAAAUAUUUUCUUUUACCUGUUUAUUUGUUUUUAUUUUCGUUUUUAAUUUUUAUUAGCUACUAUGAGUUCUCACCCCUAUCGCUUUGAGUUUGGUUCUAAUAUUGUUGAAAGGAAUGGAAGCUAUAACAGGAACAUGCAUCAAGGUCAAAACAAUCAGAGAUGGACGGAGCCACAAGGAUCUGAGGGCCAGCAGAGAGAGAAACGCAAGAGUCAGGGUCACCACCAAGAAGAGAAGGAGUUGUGUUCCACGCCACCGUCGCCACCGAUCCACAGCCACCACCGCGAGGGUUCUGUCGCCAUCAUUCCAGUGCCAUCGUUUGUGCCCUUCAUCGCCACCGCCGUGAGUAAAGUCCGCCGUUGGUACUAGUUGAAACACUGAAGUUGCUGUUUUGAUUCUGAUGUAAUUCGUCCUUGCUUCUGCUCAUUGUUGUCCUUUGUUCUGCUUCUGCUUGUGAUUUUCGUAGUUACCGGAGUCUCUGUCGCCGUGGAUACUGCCAUUGGAGUCGCUAGGAACCAAUUUUUGGAGCUGCUCUUGAUGAUUCUGAUGCUGCUACGUAGGCUCCGAGCUGCUAUGUUGUUGCCAGAGGAAGGGAACUCAUAGGAAAAAUGUCACCGAGGCUGCUGUUUGGUUUGAUUGCGUUGUUAAUGCGACAUUGAGGUAGGGGAUUUAUUUUAAAAUUAACAGUUUUAAAUUAUGAAUGCUAAUGAGGUUUAGUGAGUAAUUGUAAAUAAUUCAUAAAUAUGAUUAAUUGAUAAGAAUAAGCUUAGUUUGAGGUUGUGAAAUUUGGAUUAAGUUUGAUAUUGAGAUGAUAUUCUAGUGAUUUAAUUAGUUUAAUGAGUUUAGGUUAUGGCUAUGAAUGUUACUGGGUUUUGUUAUUGUGAGUAAUUAAUUUGACAAGAUUAAUUUUGGUUAAUGCUGUGACUGAUAUUGGUUUUUUGAUUUUGAUGGCUUUGUUGAAAAAUUCUGAUUUUAUAUGAUAUUGCUGAAUUGGUUGAAAUGUGGUUGUGAAUAGUGAUCUAUUUGAAAAUACUUGUUAAAUUGAAAUUUGAUGAGUUAACUAUUGAAAAAUUGUCGUAUUGAUAAUUGAUGAAUUGAGUUGGAUUUGUGUUUGGUUUGGGAUCAUUGUGAUGAUGGUUUGAGUUGUGGCUAUAUUUUGAUUAUUGAGACUAAGUGUUUGCUGUUGAUUUUAGUAAUCUGAUAUGUCGGAAUGGCUGUGAAAUUGACUUGCGACUGGUUGGAAUUGGUUUUGAUGCAUGUUAAUGUUGAUUCGUGAUUAAUUAGAAUUAAGUUUGAGAAUUGUUGAAAGAUUGAAGCUUGAUUAUUAAAUUUAUCUUAUGAAAUCUGAAUUUAAAGAUAAAAACAGUAACUCUAAAAAGUAUAAGGAUAACUUGUGAUAAUUGGAUAUGGAGUUAAAUUUUUUUUUUUGGAAAACAUAGCAGUUGGUUGUAAGAGAACUGGGCUUUUGUGAAUAAUACAUAAUUUGGGUGUUUUGGUGUCAAUAUUGCUAAGAUUUUGGUUAAGUUAGGUGAUAAUAUGUUUUGGGUAUUUGGAAAGUGAAAAACUGUUAAUCCUUUGGUUAAAAUAAUUGAUGAAUUGAUGAAAUGGAAGUUAUUGAUGGAUUAUGUGAAAACUAGUUAUGAAUUGGUAAGAAUGGAAUUGGAUUAAUAGAUUAUGUGGGAAUCGCAGAGUAUAAUUGAAAUACUAUUUAUCAUGAGUUGUGAAUUUCUGAUUGAUUGAGAAUCUUCUAUUUGAUAAUUGUUGAGAAAGGAUUGUUGAAUUGUUAAGAAAAAGGGAACCCGUAAGGGUGGUUAAGUCCGAGUUUUAGGGAAGGUGCUGCCG